UCAUGACUGAUAGAUUGAGCGCGUCACAAUUUUCAAUGAAAACCUUCGCAGGUGGUCUCCUACAGCGGCUCCCAAUGAGGUUGUUCCAAUGGCGGCUAUGGCUGUUACGCGGACAGUAGGGGUUCAUUUCUCAUGAUGCCACAGCCACUACUUGUCCUUGUCGAAAUUAGGCAUAUUUCUUCAAUGGAAACUUUUACAGUUACUAUGAUGGGGGGCAAUGAAUUUUCAAGCAUCUUUUUCUCUCUAGGAUCUACAGUAUAAUCAGGCGUACCAAACGAACACAAAAGCCUAAGCACUCAUCACUAGAACGGCACCCAUUGUAAAAAUUGAAAGUACCACCACGAAUUGAAGUUGGUAAUAAUUUUUCUCUCUACAGUUUUUAGAUCUAGAAUUAAUGACCCUAGUACUUAGGCUGCUAAGGAAAAAGAGAAGGCCGUCCUAGCCAACUGGCCUACCAAUUUUGAGUGACACAUAUUUGCCUGUCUUGCUUCUGGUGGAGAUUCAAAAGCUGGUUACCUCAAAUGCUGGUGUGCAGAAUAUAGGAAGUUUUCCUUACUCUCUUGGCUUUGAGAUUUCAUGCUCCAGAGAAAGAACCAAAGGGAAUUGGAUUUUGGGGGCACCCGUACCCCAAAUCCUUGUUGGUGUUGAUGCGUCCUGCUGAGGAGGCCGCUCAGCGAGAGUUUCUUCGAUCAGUUUUCUGUUUUUUGUUUCCAACUGGCUUCUAAAAAGCUUCCCUCAUGUGGGUUUUCCUGCACUUCCAUCUCUUCUCUGUUCUGUGCAUCAGAUGGUGUUGCUUGUCCUCCACCAUUGGAAGUGGAAGGCAGUAUCCCACACGUUUCUGUUGUGUGUACGGUUCCUGAUGGUGUGGGCAAGCUUUCUAGUGAGAAGGUUGAGGUUGAGGACACCUGCUUAGAUGAAAAUGUCAAAGUUGUGCUCAAGAGUAUCUUGAAGAAGGAAGGGGUUGAUGAUGGGGUGAAGGGGGAUGGAAUUGAAAAGGGGAGGGUGCGGUGGAUGGAUUUUCAAGGAAGAGAAUUAGUUGAGGUAAAGGAAUUUGAAGCCAGUGAUUGGGAUGAUUCAGAUGAUGACGAAAAUGACAGGUGUUUGUGUGCUAUCCAGUGAACUGAUUCCAGCUUCUUGCAACAUGCCCACCUCCUGCAAUAAGCACAACUAACAUUCUAAACUGAGUUUUGGCAUAUCAUAUAUUUUGCUGCAAGCAUUCCCUCGACCUCAUAAACUAUCAAUUAUCUGAAACAUUUUUGUAUUUGGCAACUUCAAUUUUGUAUAUGAUGGCUCCAACCUGUUACCGCAUGAAUUCAGAUUAAACAUCUGAUUCUCCAUUCAUAGAUGAUAAAAUGUUUGCUGCAAAUCUAUCUCUCUCUAGCAUUGGGUUCAACCAACAAGGGGAUCGCCGUCUGGGCGGUGAAGAUGUUAGGAUAAGGAUUCCACAUGGUCACUAAGCUAAGUUACUCAAGCACGUAACGUGGACGCAGUCAAGGUAAAGAUGCAUCUAUCAAAAACUGCUAUUUGGCCCCCGGCAGUAACUGCUCAUGAGAAGGCAGCAUGUGCGCCAAAGAAAUGCUGAACUUGGAUUCAAAUCAUUGGGCAUAAAUCUUGAACAAAAACGCGACCCUUGCAGGCUUCACCAAACCAAGUUCUCGUUGUAGCUUUUUUCUUUUCUGUAAAAACUGUAACGAGACUUUAGAAAUUAUAAUGGGUUGAACCAGAAAUGAAAUCCUUUUGUGCA